ACGUCUUAUAUUAAGAGCGGAAUCAUCUGAGAAGGCUCAAAUCGUAAACAACUCUCGUUCAGAACACACGUCCUCGCUUUAAAAUGUAUACCAAUCCCUUUGAAAGAAAGCACUCAGCGUUAAGGCAGACUUUAGAUAAGUUGUUUAAAGGCGAAUCAAGAUUAAGCUUUAGGAAAAAGAACAAUAUAUCAAAAAGAAGUGGUAGUGACUCUUCCAUGACAUCCUCAGGUUCAUGUGAUAGUGCACAGAAAUUUGCCUCGCAGUUCAAAAGCUGAAAUUGUGCCUGGUUCAGUGAUGUGUUUAAAUUUGCAGUGAUCUUCAUAAAGAAGGUCGUAAUGGGUUUGAUCAAACUGGUUUCUUGACGUCAUACCAAAUCGGAUGUUCGUAUCAUAAGUAGCUGGUGUUUAUUUCAUGAUCGUUGAUCUAUGUUUUAUAGUUAUUAAAGAUUUUUUAUAAAUA